GCGCGAUUGGCGUAGUGGUUAACGCGUCCACCAUCUCAUGCUGACCAUGCGGGUUGAAAUCUCCGCCGAAUCACUUGGAAAGACCGAGAUUGAGGGUACGUAGAGGUAGGUAUAGUUCAUAAGACUGGUGGAAGACCCAGGUUCGACUCCUGGAUUGCGCA